rnacentral:rRNA from 1 species
GACGAACGCUGGCGGCGUGCUUAACACAUGCAAGUCGAACGGUGAAGCGCCUUCCUUUUUGGUGGGUGUGGAUGAGUGGCGAACGGGUGAGUAACACGUGAGUAACCUGCCCCCUUCUUCUGGAUAACCGCAUGAAAGUGUGGCUAAUACGGGAUAUUCUGGGUCUGUCGCAUGAUGGGUCUGGGAAAGAUAUUGUUUCGGUGGGGGAUGGGCUCGCGGCCUAUCAGCCUGUUGGUGGGGUGAUGGCCUACCAAGGCGGUGACGGGUAGCCGGCCUGAGAGGGUGGACGGUCACACUGGGACUGAGACACGGCCCAGACUCCUACGGGAGGCAGCAGUGGGGAAUAGUGCACAAUGGGCGCAAGCCUGAUGCAGCGACGCCGCGUGAGGGAUGGAGGCCUUCGGGUUGUGAACCUCUUUCGCCAGUGAAGCAGGCCUGCCUCGUUUGUGGGUGGGUUGACGGUAGCUGGAUAAGAAGCGCCGGCUAACUACGUG